CGGCGGACGGGUGAGUAAUGCCUAGGAAUCUGCCUGGUAGUGGGGGACAACGUUUCGAAAGGAACGCUAAUACCGCAUACGUCCUACGGGAGAAAGUGGGGGAUCUUCGGACCUCACGCUAUCAGAUGAGCCUAGGUCGGAUUAGCUAGUUGGUGAGGUAAAGGCUCACCAAGGCGACGAUCCGUAACUGGUCUGAGAGGAUGAUCAGUCACACUGGAACUGAGACACGGUCCAG
rnacentral:rRNA from 1 species